UACGUAGGGUGCAAGCGUUAAUCGGAAUUACUGGGCGUAAAGCGUGCGCAGGCGGUUCUAUAAGACAGAUGUGAAAUCCCCGGGCUCAACCUGGGAACUGCAUUUGUGACUGUAGAGCUGGAGUACGGUAGAGGGGGAUGGAAUUCCGCGUGUAGCAGUGAAAUGCGUAGAUAUGCGGAGGAACACCGAUGGCGAAGGCAGCCCUCUGGGCUGAGAUUGACGCUCAGGCACGAAAGCGUGGGGAUCAAACAGG
rnacentral:rRNA from 1 species